UCCAUGUGGAUCCUACGAUAAGGUCUGCAUCCAUCAUUGGUCUCAAGCUGCUUAAAAUCAGUGCUUGACUUCCUUUGAGCCUCCAGGGGGACCUCAGAUGGAAGAUUGUAGGAUUCUUCAGCUCUCCUGAGCCUGCUGGGUGACUUUCUGUCUGGGACAGCCUUUGGUCAAGAGGCUUUUCUAAACCUAAGGUGUCUUCUCGGUGUGUCCGUCCACCUAGCCACUGAAAGAACCCCAACUCCCGCGAGUGUAAAAGGAUUUCUGUUACUGACUUUUGCACCUAACUACAAGUGGAAGGUGGAGAUGGUCCCUUCGUCCAGCUUGGGCACAUCAGGUCCGAGGCGGCUGGGCUAGCACUGGGCCACUGCAGACGCCCCGCAGACCGUGGCGCUCCCCUCCCGCCUCCUUCCUCACCUUAA